rnacentral:lncRNA from 1 species
AAUGAGACAGGCAGUGGCUUUUACUUUAUCCUUUACAUUUCUAGGAUUAUCUGAAAAAUUACAUGAGCAUAUUUUUAAUAAUCAGAUGGGAAAAUAAAGAUAGUAAAAGAUGAGAAAGAAAAGCAUUAAAAAGUAUAUCCUGAGUACCUCAAAGGUAUGUAGUAGCUUGAAAUCACAUAACUGGUAAGAAUGUGUUUUUGAAGUUGUGUAGAAUCAUAAAAUACAAUGUAGUCCAUUUUUCAAAGUCCUCAGUCUCCCCUCCUCAGAAUUAAUAGGAACAUCUUUAGGUAUGUUUAGUUUUAGAAUUUCAUGUUAUAG